rnacentral:rRNA from 1 species
UACGUAGGGUGCAAGCGUUGUCCGGAAUUAUUGGGCGUAAAGAGCUCGUAGGCGGUUUGUUGCGUCGGCUGUGAAAUCCCGAGGCUCAACCUCGGGUCUGCAGUCGAUACGAGCAAACUAGAGUGUUGCAGGGGAGAGUGGAAUUCCUGGUGUAGCGGUGAAAUGCGCAGAUAUCAGGAGGAACACCGGUGGCGAAGGCGGUUCUCUGGGCAUUACCUGACGUGGAGGAAGCGAAAAGCGUGGGGAGCGAACAGG